rnacentral:lncRNA from 1 species
ACUUGGGGCCCUUUAGUUUCGCAUCUGGACCUUCGAUAUUCACAUCAGGAACAUCAACGUCCACUUUGGGUCCUGAGACAUCAAUGUCAGCCUUGGGCAGGUUCACAUCCACAUCUGGGCCCUCUCCUUUGAAGCCAGGCAUGCUGAACUUGGGCAUUUUCACUUUGGGCAUUUUUAAGUGCCAGUCUGGGCCUUGAACGUCCACAUCUGGGACAUCAAUGUCCACUUUGGGGCCCUUGAUGUCAACUUCAGGGCCCUUGAGGUCGCCUUCCACUUUGGGCAGAGAAACGUCCACGUCGCCCUUCAUCUUUGGACCUUUCAGAUUCAGGUCAACUUCAGGCAUAGAGAUCUUCGGUGCCUUGAGGUGCAGGUCAGGCAUUUUAAAUUUGGGGCCCUUCAGUUUCCCUUCUGGACCAUGAAUAUCAAUAUCAGGAGUGUCAAUGUCCACUUUGGGUCCUGAGACAUCAAUGUCAGCCUUGGGCAGGUUCACAUCCACAUCUGGGCCCUCUCCUUUGAAGCCAGGCAUGCUGAACUUGGGCAUUUUCACCUUGGGCAUCUUCAGGUGCCAGUCUGGGCCAUGAACAUCCACAUCUGGGGCAUCAAUGUCCACUUUGGGCCCUCUGAUGUCAACAUCUGGCACUUUCAUUUCACCUUCUAC